AUUGAACGCUGGCGGAAUGCUUUACACAUGCAAGUCGAACGGCAGCACGGGGGCAGCCCUGGUGGCGAGUGGCGAACGGGUGAGUAAUACAUCGGAACGUGCCCGGUCGUGGGGGAUAACGUAGCGAAAGUUACGCUAAUACCGCAUACGAUCUGGGGAUGAAAGCGGGGGACCUUCGGGCCUCGCGCGAUCGGAGCGGCCGAUGUCAGAUUAGGUAGUUGGUGGGGUAAAGGCCUACCAAGCCGACGAUCUGUAGCUGGUCUGAGAGGACGACCAGCCACACUGGGACUGAGACACGGCCCAGACUCCUACGGGAGGCAGCAGUGGGGAAUUUUGGACAAUGGGCGCAAGCCUGAUCCAGCCAUUCCGCGUGCAGGACGAAGGCCUUCGGGUUGUAAACUGCUUUUGUACGGAACGAAAAGGCUCUGGCUAAUACCUGGGGCUCAUGACGGUACCGUAAGAAUAAGCACCGGCUAACUACGUG
rnacentral:rRNA from 1 species